rnacentral:lncRNA from 1 species
UGGAGAUGAAAAAUUAAGAGAGAAAAUUGUAAGAUGAAGAGAAGAGAAGAGAGAAAAUUUAUUGUUUUUCUCCUAAGUUCUUUUUUUUUCUACUUGUUUUCUCCUAUUACAAGAGAGAUUAUUCGUUGUUAUCUCCUUGUAUUUAGAGAUAUUAUUGUAAUUUUCCUAUUAUAGUGAAUCCUCCCAUACUUGCCCAUGGACGUAGCCUAAAUUGGGUGAACCACGUAAAUACAUGUGUCCAUUUUUAGUUGUGUUUUCUCAAUUCCAUUAUUUGUCAACCAAACUCGACCCACGCGUUUUCUCCCCAACAAAACCUGUGUUAUUAUGUAAUUUACAUUACUUAUUGACAUUAUUAUGCGGUGGUAAAUAUUAAUAUUAUCACCCACCAUAUAAAACUUUUGUUAUUAUUAGUCAAAGUUUAACGUGUAUUAUGCUGUAAAAGUAAAAUUUGAUACCAAUUUGUUAGGAGGAUUUGUUGAGUCUCAAAUGAAUUAAAUAAAAUAAAAUUUAGGAUAGAAAAUUUAAAAGAAGAAAAUUGUAUUAUCAAAAUUCAAAUUUUAUGAUCUAAUUUUUUUAUGAUGAUGAAAUACUACAGAUGAG